GAUGAACGCUGGCGGCGUGCCUAAUACAUGCAAGUCGAGCGAACGGACGAGAAGCUUGCUUCUCUGAUGUUAGCGGCGGACGGGUGAGUAACACGUGGAUAACCUACCUAUAAGACUGGGAUAACUUCGGGAAACCGGAGCUAAUACCGGAUAAUAUUUUGAACCGCAUGGUUCAAAAGUGAAAGACGGUCUUGCUGUCACUUAUAGAUGGAUCCGCGCUGCAUUAGCUAGUUGGUAAGGUAACGGCUUACCAAGGCAACGAUGCAUAGCCGACCUGAGAGGGUGAUCGGCCACACUGGAACUGAGACGCGGUCCAGACUCCUACGGGAGGCAGCAGUAGGGAAUCUUCCGCAAUGGGCGAAAGCCUGACGGAGCAACGCCGCGUGAGUGAUGAAGGUCUUCGGAUCGUAAAACUCUGUUAUUAGGGAAGAACAUAUGUGUAAGUAACUGUGCACAUCUUGACGGUACCUAAUCAGAAAGCCACGGCUAACUACGUGCCAGCAGCCGCGGUAAUACGUAGGUGGCAAGCGUUAUCCGGAAUUAUUGGGCGUAAAGCGCGCGUAGGCGGUUUUUUAAGUCUGAUGUGAAAGCCCACGGCUCAACCGUGGAGGGUCAUUGGAAACUGGAAAACUUGAGUGCAGAAGAGGAAAGUGGAAUUCCAUGUGUAGCGGUGAAAUGCGCAGAGAUAUGGAGGAACACCAGUGGCGAAGGCGACUUUCUGGUCUGUAACUGACGCUGAUGUGCGAAAGCGUGGGGAUCAAACAGGAUUAGAUACCCUGGUAGUCCACGCCGUAAACGAUGAGUGCUAAGUGUUAGGGGGUUUCCGCCCCUUAGUGCUGCAGCUAACGCAUUAAGCACUCCGCCUGGGGAGUACGACCGCAAGGUUGAAACUCAAAGGAAUUGACGGGGACCCGCACAAGCGGUGGAGCAUGUGGUUUAAUUCGAAGCAACGCGAAGAACCUUACCAAAUCUUGACAUCCUUUGACCGCUCUAGAGAUAGAGUCUUCCCCUUCGGGGGACAAAGUGACAGGUGGUGCAUGGUUGUCGUCAGCUCGUGUCGUGAGAUGUUGGGUUAAGUCCCGCAACGAGCGCAACCCUUAAGCUUAGUUGCCAUCAUUAAGUUGGGCACUCUAAGUUGACUGCCGGUGACAAACCGGAGGAAGGUGGGGAUGACGUCAAAUCAUCAUGCCCCUUAUGAUUUGGGCUACACACGUGCUACAAUGGACAAUACAAAGGGCAGCUAAACCGCGAGGUCAAGCAAAUCCCAUAAAGUUGUUCUCAGUUCGGAUUGUAGUCUGCAACUCGACUACAUGAAGCUGGAAUCGCUAGUAAUCGUAGAUCAGCAUGCUACGGUGAAUACGUUCCCGGGUCU
rnacentral:rRNA from 1 species